CUCAGCUUCCCAUCCCGCCUGGGGACCGAGCCGCCAGCUGCAGACAUGACCCCCAGCCUGGCCAUCGCCUUCCUCCUGCUGCUCCCCGCGGGUGUCUAUUCCCAGGUCAGCCUGGUGGAGUCCGGAGGGGGAGUCAAGAAGCCCGGGGAGACACUCAGACUGACCUGCACCGUGUCCGGGUUCUCUCUCACCACCUACGAGGUGCACUGGAUCUGCCAGCCAGCGGCGAACGGGCUGGACUGGCUGGGAGUUAUCUGGACGGGUGGGGGCACUGCUUAUAGCAAUACUCUAAAAAAUCAUCUCAGCAUCAUCAAAGACAAACCCAAAAGCCAAGUGUUCCUGCAGCUGAGGGGCCUGCAACCCAGAGACACAACCGUAUAUUACUGUGCCAGAGAAACACAGUGA